rnacentral:rRNA from 1 species
AAUGAACGCUGGCGGCAUGCCUUACACAUGCAAGUCGAACGGCAGCAUGACCUAGCUUGCUAGGUUGAUGGCGAGUGGCGAACGGGUGAGUAAUGCAUCGGAACGUGCCUUUUAGUGGGGGAUAACGUAGCGAAAGUUACGCUAAUACCGCAUAUUCUCUGAGGAGGAAAGCAGGGGACCUUCGGGCCUUGCGCUAGAAGAGCGGCCGAUGUCGGAUUAGCUAGUUGGUGAGGUAAAGGCUCACCAAGGCAACGAUCCGUAGCGGGCCUGAGAGGAUGAUCCGCCACACUGGGACUGAGACACGGCCCAGACUCCUACGGGAGGCAGCAGUGGGGAAUUUUGGACAAUGGGCGCAAGCCUGAUCCAGCCAUGCCGCGUGAGUGAAGAAGGCCUUCGGGUUGUAAAGCUCUUUCGGCUGGGAAGAAAUCGCACCCUCUAAUACAGGGUGUGGAUGACGGUACCAGCAGAAGAAGCACCGGCUAACUACGUG